rnacentral:tRNA from 1 species
AGAAAUUUAAGUUAACAGACUAAAGGU